GAUGAACGCUGGCGGCGUGCCUAAUACAUGCAAGUCGAGCGAACAGACGAGGAGCUUGCUCCUCUGACGUUAGCGGUGGACGGGUGAGUAACACGUGGAUAACCUACCUAUAAGACUGGGAUAACUUCGGGAAACCGGAGCUAAUACCGGAUAAUAUAUUGAACCGCAUGGUUCAAUAGUGAAAGACGGUUUUGCUGUCACUUAUAGAUGGAUCCGCGCCGCAUUAGCUAGUUGGUAAGGUAACGGCUUACCAAGGCAACGAUGCGUAGCCGACCUGAGAGGGUGAUCGCCCACACUGGAACUGAGACACGGUCCAGACUCCUACGGGAGGCAGCAGUAGGGAAUCUUCCGCAAUGGGCGAAAGCCUGACGGAGCAACGCCGCGUGAGUGAUGAAGGUCUUCGGAUCGUAAAACUCUGUUAUUAGGGAAGAACAAAUGUGUAAGUAACUAUGCACGUCUUGACGGUACCUAAUCAGAAAGCCACGGCUAACUACGUG
rnacentral:rRNA from 1 species